AACGAACGCUGGCGGCAUGCCUAACACAUGCAAGUCGAACGAGACCUUCGGGUCUAGUGGCGCACGGGUGCGUAACGCGUGGGAAUCUGCCCUUGGGUUCGGAACAACAGUUGGAAACGACUGCUAAUACCGGAUGAUGACUUCGGUCCAAAGAUUUAUCGCCCAGGGAUGAGCCCGCGUAGGAUUAGCUUGUUGGUGAGGUAAAAGCUCACCAAGCCUGUGAUCCGUAGCUGGUCUGAGAGGAUGAUCAGCCACACUGGGACUGAGACACGGCCCAGACUCCUACGGGAGGCAGCAGUGGGGAGUAUUGGACAAUGGGGGCAACCCUGAUCCAGCAAUGCCGUGUGGGUGAUGAAGGCCUUCGGGUUGUAAAGCCCUUUCGGCGGGGACGAUGAUGACGGUACCCGCAGAAGAAGCCCCGGCUAACUUCGUGCCAGCAGCCGCCGUAACAC
rnacentral:rRNA from 1 species